rnacentral:rRNA from 1 species
AGUGAACGCUGGCGGCAGGCCUAAUACAUGCAAGUCGAACGGCAGCACGGCAGAGCUUGCUCUGUGGGUGGCGAGUGGCGGACGGGUGAGGAAUACAUGGGAAUCUGCCCAGUCGUGGGGAUAACGUAGGGAAACUUACGCUAAUACCGCAUGCGCCCUUCGGGGAAAGCCGGGGACCUUCGGGCCUGGCGCGAUUGGAUGAGCCCAUGUCGGAUUAGCUAGUUGGCGGGGUAAUGGCCCACCAAGGCGACGAUCCGUAGCUGGUCUGAGAGGAUGAUCAGCCACACUGGAACUGAGACACGGUCCAGACUCCUACGGGAGGCAGCAGUAGGGAAUAUUGGACAAUGGGCGCAAGCCUGAUCCAGCCAUGCCGCGUGAGUGAAGAAGGCCCUCGGGUUGUAAAGCUCUUUUGUCCGGAAAGAAAGCGCCGGGUUAAUACCCUGGUGUCCUGACGGUACCGGAAGAAUAAGCACCGGCUAACUUCGUGCCAGCAGCCGCGGUAAU